GCAAGACCAAAGAGGGGGACCUUCGGGCCUCUUGCCAUCAGAUGUGCCCAGAUGGGAUUAGCUAGUAGGUGGGGUAACGGCUCACCUAGGCGACGAUCCCUAGCUGGUCUGAGAGGAUGACCAGCCACACUGGAACUGAGACACGGUCCAGACUCCUACGGGAGGCAGCAGUGGGGAAUAUUGCACAAUGGGCGCAAGCCUGAUG
rnacentral:rRNA from 1 species